GAGGGGAUGUUCCCCAUCUGACAAGAGGACUGAUUUUUUUUAUCACCCCAUCCUCCACAACAAAAACAACCACGAAGAAUACAUUCAGUUUCUCUAAACCUCCUUUUCCUUCUUUAGCACAUCUUCCUUGCUUGCAGUCCAAAGGUCCUGCUGCAUCCCUAACCAGCUUCUUGCUUCUAAGGCAUUAAAAUAUUUACAUCUUCCAUUCCCUUGAAGCAAAAGCAGGUAUAGGCCCAAGAACUGCAGCUGACAAAAUUGGACUGGAUGGACCAUUGGCUUAUUCUCUUUUGGGAGAUCUUUCAAAAUAACUUCUGCAUUCUUAAAUUUCUCUAUAGCAUAUGGUGUGUUUUGCACAGUCAGAUGGGCCUAGAACUCUGAAACAUUUCCCAUUAGCUUCCUGGCAAAUUUGUGAAUUUCUUGCAAAACUCUGUGCCAGAAACCCAUCAAAGGUGCAACUGAAAUAGUUUGCGAACUUUAGCAAAGGCUUUAGUGAAAAUGGUCAAAGUGUAUAAUGAAACCCCAAAUGAGUCAAGUUUCACAUGGUUGCAAAUCUUUCUCCCAGCUAUGAUCAAAGGUAUAUUCAGCAAGGAUGAGCCUUUGAUAGUGCAAGACAGCACAUCCCCUGAAAUGUUCAAAGUAGUGCCCUGGGAUUUUGCUGAGCAAUUCCUGUUGGGAGUGUUGCAGCUAAACUUAGCAAUGCUUAGUUUGGGGAGAGGGGAGGAUGACAGGAAUAUGUCAUAUUUGCAGACCAUUCUGCAUUUCUCCAGGGGCGGCUUUUUAAUUCCAAAGCCUUCACAUCAAAGUUCAAAAUGCAGUCUGAACCUAAAUGCAUUAUGGAAGGGAAUAGCUGCCUGUCAUGUACCAAUUUCAUUCCCCUCCCCCCCUUUCAUAGCUUCAGUCAACAAGCUGUAAUAAGAAGUGUAACCAGAAUUAUUGCUCUGCUCCUUCAAAAUGCAACUUUUUUUACUUUAGGAAAUGAAAAAUGUCAGUAUAUUCAGGGGAAGAAAACAUGUUACCACUCAGAAAUCGGUUAGUGACCCGCAUUCCAGCAAUCAGGCUCCAGUGAAGUUGUAACAUAAGGGAGUCGAACUUCUACCAUCAUCUGAUCACAGAGAAUGUAUGCCUGCUUGUAGCCUAGGCUAGACAGUAGAGCUGCUGCAUUCAGUCUUGCCUGUCUUUAUUUCUGUGACUGAAAGCAGACUUGCAUAUUGAUGUGUUUUCAACUAUAACAGAAUGUCCUUCUGCUCACUCUGUAAUGCCUGACUAGGUAAUCAAACAUAUGGAGACUACAUGCAGAUCAUCUGAGACAGGUGCUAUCUGUCACCUUCUCCAGACUAGUUCAAUGGUUUCAGCCUAUGCGCUAUUGGUAUAUGUUGUUGUUUAGUCGUGUCCAACUCUUCGUGACCCCAGAGCACGCCAGGCACUUCUGUCUUCCACUGCCUCCCGCAGUUUGGUCAAACUCAUGCUGGUAGCUUCGAGAACACUAUCCAACCAUCUCGUCCUCUGUUGUCCCCUUCUCCUUGUGCCCUCCAUCUGUCCCAACAUCAGGGUCUUUUCCAGGGAGUCUUCUCUUCUCAUGAGGUGGCCAAAGUAUUGGAGCCUCAGCUUCAUGAUCUGUCCUUCCAGUGAGCACUCAGGGCUGAUUUCCUUAAGAACGGAUAGGUUUGAUCUUCUUGCAGUCCAUGGGACUCUCAAGAGGUAUAUUGGUGUUUAUAAGCAUGUAAUUUCAUUUCAGAUCAUUUCUUGGUCCAGAUAUACAGUACCACAGCCUUGGACCAUGAACUCUGGGAUUCCAGAGCACUACACUGUCCACAAUAGGGCCAUUGAAUAGGGCCAUCUGAAUCCAAGAACUAGAUGUGACUCCAUGGUCUGCAUCAACUUCAUUGCAUAUAUUCCCUGAUGGUUUGCCACUCAAAUAAACACAGACUGAAGAGAUCACAGAAAGUUGUAAAAACAAACAAACCCCAAAACUGACCAAAACAGAAAUAUAGAUACAAGAUGAAUCUUGGGACCCAUGCACAGCCCUACCAUUUAUGUUGUUUAGUCAAUGUUCUAUUUCCGCUUACAUGGACAAAUAAAUGUAUUUAUCAUGUAAAGGUUUCUCAAUACCCUUUACGUUCACAGUUACUUAGUCCCUAAUGCAUGCCCAGGACUCCAAGUACUUAAAGACAGCGCCUUUGUCGACUCUGGUGAAAGACAUAAUACAACAGUUACAGUCACUCACAGAUACACAUGCAUAUGUCUUCUUGACUGUUGAUCAAGCAGAGAAGGCUUUAUUUUGCUGAAUUUGUAUCACCAGGUACAUUUCCAUAGCAACAGACAGUGAUAUCACUAACAGGAUUAUGGUCCCACUCAGGCAGGGAAUGUGGCAUGCAGAAAGCCUGUUAUGAGAAACAAUGUCAAAAGUGUACAUGAAUUAUCAAUAGUAAAUCCUUAUGACUAACAGAAGGUUCAUUAAGAGGCAAGGAUUAAGAGGCAAGCACUCAAAGGUGGCCUUGUAAACCCACAAGGUAUCUCUUUGUUAAGAGAUUUGGUUUUUGGCUACUCUUCAAACUUGCAGCCUCAGACUCAAGCCUCUCUGGUGAUAUUACCAGCAUCUCUGGGGUGAUUGUACAUUUCCUCAUUUCUUUCCACUGUUGUCAUGGACAAAUCUGCUGACCUCUCAGCAAACUGCCUCAUUAAGCCUCUCAUUAACACAGGUUAUCUCCCAUUAGUGGCACAGUGUGCUGUUCCCAUGGGAUGACUUCACAAUGACUGAAAAACAACCAAUUUCCUCACCUGUCCUAAAUUUCUAAAUCCUGGAGCUCAAGUGUGCUUGGUAACUGCACAGGCUUAACUGGAGUCUUUUUUUUCUUUUUCUUUUCAAACUGUGGGGGUUUCAGACCUUGGUGGGAAAUUGUGCCGUGUUUAGAGGAAGACAUUUUACACAAACUUGUGUCCUGUCCUAGUUGGGUCCCAAGUUGCUGGGGAACUUCCAGACAGCAGAGCUACCACAGACAGCAGCAAUAUCCAAGGCCAGUCUGAAUGAAGUCCAUUCUCAGGCAAACAGUGGUUCAAGCAAGAAGCAAAUUGAUGAGCAGUCCAGCAGUUGCUCUGUCAUACGCGAUUGUUAUAAAGGACUAUGAGAAGAGCACUUGCGCAGCACCUCGAGAAGUCUGGCAUCAUCGGGGAGCUGAAUACCCAGUAUGAAUUUGGAAGCAGAUUUGGAAAAUGACCAAAACCCAAGUGGAAUUAGUUGGAGCCUUUCAUGGGAGGCCAAAACAAAAUCUAUUUGCUUAGCAGCUGAGCUGUUGGGAGGGGGGAGUACUUAUGUUUCUAUUGUAAUGAAAAGCAUCCAACAAAUCUGAGCUAAACAAGGAAAUAUUUACAGGAACAGGAAUUAUAUCUGCAUGGUUUAACAAUAGAUAUCUGUGAUUAGAAUAAUUUACAUAAUGUUUGAAACUCUGAAAUUGUCAUAAUUUUUGAAAACCUGAGAAUGGGUGGAGAGCCUCCAU